rnacentral:rRNA from 1 species
UAGUGCAAUGGUAUAAGCAAGCUUAACUGCGAGACAGACAAGUCGAGCAGGUACGAAAGUAGGUCAUAGUGAUCCGGUGGUUCUGAAUGGAAGGGCCAUCGCUCAACGGAUAAAAGGUACUCCGGGGAUAACAGGCUGAUACCGCCCAAGAGUUCAUAUCGACGGCGGUGUUUGGCACCUCGAUGUCGGCUCAUCACAUCCUGGGGCUGAAGUAGGUCCCAAGGGUAUGGCUGUUCGCCAUUUAAAGUGGUACGCGAGCUGGGUUUAGAACGUCGUGAGACAGUUCGGUCCCUAUCUGCCGUGGGCGUAGGAGAAUUGGUUGGGGCUGCUCCUAGUACGAGAGGACCGGAGUGGACGCACCACUGGUGUUCCGGUUGUGUCGCCAGACGCAUUGCCGGGUAGCUAAGUGCGGAAGAGAUAAGUGCUGAAAGCAUCUAAGCACGAAACUUGCCAAGAGAUGAGUUCUCCCAAUCUAAGAGAUAGUAAGGGUUGUUGUAGACUACGACGUAGAUAGGUCUGGUGUGUAAGUGUAGUGAUACAUUGAGCUAACAGAUACUAAUUGCCCGAGAGGCUUAACUAUACAACGCUCAAG